rnacentral:rRNA from 1 species
CCUACGGGUGGCAGCAGUGGGGAAUAUUGGACAAUGGGGGGAACCCUGAUCCAGCGACGCCGCGUGAGUGAAGAAGUAUUUCGGUAUGUAAAGCUCUAUCAGCAGGGAAGAAAGAAAUGACGGUACCUGACUAAGAAGCCCCGGCUAACUACGUGCCAGCAGCCGCGGUAAUACGUAGGGGGCAAGCGUUAUCCGGAUUUACUGGGUGUAAAGGGAGCGUAGACGGCGAUGCAAGUCUGAAGUGAAAGGCGGGGGCCCAACCCCCGGACUGCUUUGGAAACUGUAUGGCUGGAGUGCAGGAGAGGUAAGUGGAAUUCCUAGUGUAGCGGUGAAAUGCGUAGAUAUUAGGAGGAACACCAGUGGCGAAGGCGGCUUGCCGCAGCGUUACUGACGCUGAAGCUCGAAAGCGCGGGUAUCGAACAGGAUUAGAUACCCGGGUAGUC